rnacentral:lncRNA from 1 species
CUGGGAAGUGUCUAAGCAGUGACAAUAUCCAAAGUGCACAUGAUUAUAUAGUGUAAAUUCUAAAUUUCUGCUAUGCUUACAAUAUAAAAGUCUUUCUUACUACCAUAUAUCUAAGAAUUCCUUUGUUUGACUACAGGACUGAGGAAAAGCAACCCUGUUAAUUUAGAGAUUCUACAUUUGUGUUUAAAAUGGCAAAGAAGGCUGGGCGCAGUGGCUCAUGCUUGUAAUCCCAACACUUUGGGAGGCCAAGACAAGAGGAUUGCCUGAGGUCAGGAGUUCAAGACCAGAAUGCUCAGGGUAGUGAGACCCCCAACUGUACAAAAAAAUUUUUUUAAUUAUUCAGGUGUGGUGGUGCACACCUGUAGUUCCAGCUACUCGGGGGAGCUGAAGCAGGAGGAUCACUUAGACCCAGGAAGUGGAGGCUGCAGUAAGCCGUGAUUGAGCCUGUGCACUCCACCCCAGGUGACAGAGGGCAACCUUGUCUCUAAAUAUAAAUAAAUAAAUAAAUUUAAAAUAAGAGAAAAUGGCAAAGGAGAGGUCUUUCUUAAUGACGCAUAUCACAUUACAUUACCAACUCUCUUCUGUGUUUUUUUUUUUUUUUACUCUCUUAAAAGUUUGUGGUGGCUGCUCUGAUAGUAGUGGGUUAUCAGAACACAUUAACAUUAGUGUUACUGAAGUUAGUAUAAAACUCCCCCGCUCCUAAAUGACUGGCUUUAAAAAAAAAAAAAAAAAACUUUGUGGCUAACCACUGAAAGAACUGUAAAUAUGGGUUAAUGUUUUUCCCUAUUCCCUGAAAGUGUACAUUGUGGCAGACUAUAUUUCCCAAAGAUGGCCACAAUAUUUCCCAUCCCACAUGCUCUUCUACAAUGUGACCUGCCACUCUCUCAUCAAGAAGUAGAGUCCAAUUCUCCUUCUCUCUUUUUUUUUUUUUUUUUUUUUUUUUUGAGAUAGAGUCUUGCUCUGUCGCCCAGGCUGGAGAGCAGUGGCGUGAUCUUGGCUCACUGCAACCUGUACCUCCAGGGUUCAAGCAAUUCUCCUGCCUCAGCCUCCCUACUGAGCCUCUUGCCUCAGUAGCUGGGAUUACAGGUGUGCGCCACCACAUCUAGCUAAUUUUUUUGUGUUUUUAGUAGAGAUGGGGUUUUGCCAUGUGGGCCAGGCUGGUCUCAAACUCCUGACUUCAGGUGAUCUGCCCACCUUAGUCUCCCAAAAUGAUGGGAUUACAGGUGUGAGCCACCGUGCCCAGCCCAAUUCUCCUUCUCUUAAAUCUAGGCUGGCCUCAAUGAUUCACUUGUAACCAAUAAAAUGUGGCAAAAAUGAUAGUGAAUGACUUCUGAGUCUAGGUCAGUAGGAGCCUGGCAGCUUCUUUCUCAGUUUCCGGAACACUUAGUCUCCAGGUGCUGCCAUGCUAUGAAAAGCCUAAGCUACAAGGAGAGACCUACACUGUCCUCCAGGUCCUCUGGUCUAGCAUCCCAGCUGAGCCCAGCUUUCGAGUUAUCCUGGUCUAGGUAUCAGAUGAGUAAAAAAGUCAACAUGGAAGAGGAUUCUCCAAUUCCAGCUGUUUCCAUCCCAGCAGGUCCAAUUAUACCCAGCCAUUUGAGUCUUCCAUUCUGAGGCUCCAAAUAAAGCACACAGCUGUCUCUUCUCUGAAUUCCUACCUCAAUAAUUUGUAACCAUAAUAUAAUGGUUAUUUUAUUUUUAUUUUAUAUUUAUUAUUUUAUUUUAUAUUUUAUCUUAUUUUGAGACAAGGUCUUGUUCUGCU